UACAAAAUGAUGCUCAAGUAUGCUGUUUUAGUUCCGUAGUUUUUGAGCCUUUUACUUCGUCAGUGGAGGAAACGGGGUUUUAACAAGACGUUAUUUUUCAAAUUCACGCCUUUAAGUAUAUUACUGUUAAUUGCUAAAUACAGGAAUUUUAAUGUCAGUGGCAAAUGCAAAACGGACGAUUCUCAAUCCGACAAUCCCCUUCACUGAGAUUAUACCGGGUGGUCUUCACCCAGGAGAGAUGAUUGUUAUACAGGGAUGUGUUCAUAAUGAUGCGGACAGUUCUCCAGCGAUCUACUCCGCAUUCUCUGGCACUCCAACGAUCCUCUGCUCCUGCCAUCCCACCUGGAAGAAAGGAAGGACACGUGAAUCCACCAAGCUAAGCCACCAAACCCUAUCCACUACCAAGAUACUUCCCCACUCGCUGGUGUCUUGUUUUCUCCUGCCACAGUCUUCAAUAAACCUGCUGUUAUACUGAUUUUCACUUGUGUUCCCAUUGUGUUUGCUGACACCAAGUAGGCCUGCCCCUUAUGAAAGAUUUUUUUUUUUUAGUCAACUAGUCACACGUUUAUAUUAAGUUCUUUCCGUAG
ensembl:lncRNA